GCAUUGGUGGUUCAGGCAGAAUUCUCGCCUCCCACGUGGGAGACCUGGGUCUGAUUCCCGGCCAAUGCA
rnacentral:tRNA from 1 species